AGAAGUGAGAAUGCCGGUAUGAGUAGCGAAAGACAGGUGAGAAUCCUGUCCACCGUAUGACUAAGGUUUCCUGGGGAAGGCUCGUCCGCCCAGGGUUAGUCGGGACCUAAGCCGAGGCCGAUAGGCGUAGGCGAUGGACAACAGGUUGAUAUUCCUGUACCAGUUGUUUUUGUUUGAGCAAUGGAGGGACGCAGUAGGCUAAGGAAUGCAUGCGAUUGGAAGUGCAUGUCCAAGCAAUGAGUCUUGAGUAGAGUUAAAUGCUUUACUCUUUAAGGACAAGUUGUGACGGGGAGCGAAAUAAUAGUAGCGAAGUUCCUGAUGUCACACUGCCAAGAAAAGCUUCUAGUGAGAAAACAACUGCCCGUACCGUAAACCGACACAGGUAGUCGAGGAGAGUAUCCUAAGGUGAGCGAGCGAACUCUCGUUAAGGAACUCGGCAAAAUGACCCCGUAACUUCGGGAGAAGGGGUGCUGACUUCGGUCAGCCGCAGUGAAUAGGCCCAAGCGACUGUUUAUCAAAAACACAGGUCUCUGCAAAAUCGUAAGAUGAAGUAUAGGGGCUGACGCCUGCCC
rnacentral:rRNA from 1 species